AUACGGAGGAUGCAAGCGUUAUCCGGAUUUAUUGGGUUUAAAGGGUGCGUAGGCGGUUUGCUAAGCGGGAGGUGAAAUGCCGGCGCUCAACGUCGGAAGUGCCUCCCGAACUGGUGGACUUGAAUGACUCUGCCGUGGGAGGAAUUGGCAGUGUAGCGGUGAAAUGCUUAGAGAUUACACAGAACACCGAUUGCGAAGGCAUCUCACGAAGGGUUGAUUGACGCUGAGGCACGAAAGCGUGGGGAUCAAACAGGAUUAGAUACCCUGGUAGUCCACGCAGUAAACGAUGAUGGCUAACCGCUGGAUCCAUCGGUUCAGUGGCCAAGCGAAAGCGAUAAGCCAUCCACCUGGGGAGUACGACCGCAAGGUUGAAACUCAAAUGAAUUGACGGGG
rnacentral:rRNA from 1 species